ACUACGGGAGGCAGCAGUGGGGAAUAUUGCACAAUGGGGGAAACCCUGAUGCAGCAACGCCGCGUGGGUGAAGGAGCGUUUCGGCGCGUAAAGCCCUGUCAGCGGGGAAGAAGAAAGACGGUACCCGACCAAGAAGCCCCGGCUAACUACGUGCCAGCAGCCGCGGUAAUACGUAGGGGGCGAGCGUUAUCCGGAAUUACUGGGUGUAAAGGGGGCGCAGACGGGGAUGCAAGCCAGGAGUGAAAGCCCGGGGCCCAACCCCGGGACUGCUCUUGGAACUGCGUGGCUGGAGUGCAGGAGGGGCAGGCGGAAUUCCUGGUGUAGCGGUGAAAUGCGUAGAUAUCAGGAGGAACACCGGUGGCGAAGGCGGCCUGCUGGACUGCAACUGACGUUGAGGCCCGAAAGCGUGGGGAGCAAACAGGAUUAGAUACCCUAGUAGUC
rnacentral:rRNA from 1 species